AGCGAACGCUGGCGGCGUGCCUAACACAUGCAAGUCGAACGUGAAAGGGAGCAAUCCCAAGUAAAGUGGCGUACGGGUGAGUAACACGUAGGUAAUCUACCCCAGAAUCUGGAAUAACCGGCCGAAAGGCUGGCUAAUACUGGAUAGAGCGACGGAAUCCGUAAUUGGGUUUUUCGGGAAAGGGAGCCUGUAAAAAGGCCUUCGUUCUGGGAUGAGCCUGCGUCCCAUCAGCUAGUUGGUGAGGUAAAAGCUUACCAAGGCAAUGACGGGUAGCUGGUCUGAGAGGACGAUCAGCCACACUGGAACUGAAACAAGGUCCAGACUCCUACGGGAGGCAGCAGUGGGGAAUCUUGCGCAAUGGACGAAAGUCUGACGCAGCAACGCCGCGUGAGUGAAGAAGGCCUUCGGGUUGUAAAGCUCUGUCGAGUGGGACGAAAAUGCUUGGAGUUCGCAGCUCCAGGAACUGACGGUACCACUAAAGGAAGCACCGGCUAACUCCGUG
rnacentral:rRNA from 1 species